GAUUAAGCCAUGCAUGUCCAAGUAUAAACACGUUUGUACUGUGAAACUGCAGAUGGCUCAUUACAACAGUUAUAGUUUAUUUGACAUUGAACUGUUACACGGAUAACCGUAGUAACCUAGGGCUAAUACGUGACAAACCCUGCUCGCAGGAGUGCAUAUUAGCUGAAAACCAACUUUGGUUGAAUAAUAAUAUUUGUCGGAUCGCGUUGGCCUCGCCAGCGACAUGUCAUUCAAGUUUCUGACCUAUCAGCUUGACGGUAGGGUAUUGGCCUACCGUGGCUUUGACGGGUAACGGGGAAUGCGGGUUCGAUUCCGGAGAGGCAGCCUGAGAAACGGCUACCACAUCCACGGGAGGCAGCAGGUGCGCAAAUUACCCAAUUCUGACUCAGAGAGGUAGUGACAAGAAAUAACGAUCGGCGGCCUUCGGUUGCCUAUUCGGAAUGAGAACAAUGUAAAAGCCUUAUCGAAUUCCAGCGGAGGGCAAGCCUGGUGCCAGCAGCCGCGGUAAUACCAGCUCCGCUAGCGUAUACUAAAGUUGUUGCUGUUAAAACGCCCGUAGUUGGAUAUCUGCCCCGCCCGGGCCGGACUCGCGACGCACCUGCGCCUGCGGCCGGCCGCCGGGGCAUAAUUCAGGAACGCCGGUCUGGCCAUUUAAUUGGUCGGGCCGCUGGUCCUGAUCCUUUACUUUGAGAAAAUUAAAGUGCUCAAAGCAGGCUCGCGCCUGAAUGCAUUAGCAUGGAAUAAUAAGACACGACUUCGGCACCGCCACUCGUGGCGGGUGUUUUGUUGGUUUUGAGCUGGAGUAAUGAUUGAUAGAAACAAUUGGGGGUGCUAGUAUCGCCGGGCCAGAGGUAAAAUUCUUUAAUUCCGGUGAGACUAACUUAUGCGGAAGCAUUCACCAAGCGUGUUUUCUUUAAUCAAGAACUAAAGUUGGGGGAUCGAAGACGAUCA
rnacentral:rRNA from 1 species